rnacentral:snRNA from 1 species
GUACAGGUGAUCUUGCUGCCACAUUUGUCACCCCAUUGAUUGCCAGCACUGAUUCUUCUGUUCUGGCUGCCUAGAUGGUAUCCCCUUCCUCCCUCAAUGCUCCAUGUGUGUCCUUCUAGAAGCUUCAAGUUCCUGUCAAUACAGAAGGACAGGUCUUCAGUCAAAGGCAUAAGAGUAGCUGUGAUCCCCUGUUAGAAUUUCCAAACAAGUUCUCAAAAUAUAUUUUAAAAACAUAAUAUAUGGAUAUGUGGGAAAUUUUAGGGGAAGACUUUUUUAAACAU